rnacentral:rRNA from 1 species
AAACUCUGGUGCUCUAUGCUCGAGUGGAACCACGCCAAUCCAUCCCGAACUUGGCUGUGAAACUCUCGAGAAGUUGACUGACUCGUCGGAAGUCUGACGGGAAAUCUCAACUUAGUGCCAGGGUG